AUGCACGCUGGCGGCGUGCCUAAUACAUGCAAGUCGAGCGAACAGAUGAGGAGCUUGCUCCUCUGACGUUAGCGGCGGACGGGUGAGUAACACGUGGAUAACCUACCUAUAAGACUGGGAUAACUUCGGGAAACUGGAGCUAAUACCGGAUAAUAUAUUGAACCGCAUGGUUCAAUAGUGAAAGACGGUUUUGCUGUCACUUAUAGAUGGAUCCGCGCCGCAUUAGCUAGUUGGUAAGGUAACGGCUUACCAAGGCAACGAUGCGUAGCCGACCUGAGAGGGUGAUCGGCCACACUGGAACUGAGACACGGUCCAGACUCCUACGGGAGGCAGCAGUAGGGAAUCUUCCGCAAUGGGCGAAAGCCUGACGGAGCAACGCCGCGUGAGUGAUGAAGGUCUUCGGAUCGUAAAACUCUGUUAUUAGGGAAGAACAAAUGUGUAAGUAACUAUGCACGUCUUGACGGUACCUAAUCAGAAAGCCACGGCUAACUACGUG
rnacentral:rRNA from 1 species